rnacentral:rRNA from 1 species
UACAGAGGGUGCGAGCGUUAAUCGGAUUUACUGGGCGUAAAGCGUGCGUAGGUGGUCUUUUAAGUCGGAUGUGAAAUCCCUGAGCUUAACUUAGGAAUUGCAUUCGAUACUGGGAGACUAGAGUAUGGGAGAGGAUGGUAGGAUUCCAGGUGUAGCGGUGAAAUGCGUAGAGAUCUGGAGGAAUACCGAUGGCGAAGGCAGCCAUCUGGCCUAAUACUGACACUGAGGCACGAAAGCAUGGGUAGCAAACAGG